GAUGAACGCUGGCGGCGUGCCUAAUACAUGCAAGUCGAGCGAACGGACGAUUAGCUUGCUUCUCUGAUUUUUGCGGCUGACGUGUGAGUCACACGUGUAUAACCUACCUUUAUUACUUGUAUACCUUCGUGAAACCUUAUCUAAUACCGUAUAAUAUUUUGUUCCUCUUUUUUCAUUUGUUUAUUUCGUUCUUUCUUUCUCUUCUAGAUUGAUCCGCGCUGCAUUAGCUAGUUGGUAAGGUAACGGCUUACCAAGGCAACGAUGCAUAGCCGACCUGAGCGGGUGAUCGGCCACACUGGAACUGAGACACGGACCAGAGACCUACGGGAGGCAGCAGUAGGGAAUAGUCGGCAAUGGGCGAAAGCAUGACGGAGCAAGGCCGCGUGAGAGAUGAAGGACUUCGGAGCGUAAAAAUCUGUUAUUAGGGAAGAAAAAAAGUGAAAGAAAAUGUGCACAUAUUGACGGUAACUAAUCAGAAAGCAACGGCUAACUACGUG
rnacentral:rRNA from 1 species